GUCUGCAGGUGACAUGUUGUUGUAGGUGGCAGGGAGUGUAUUGUCACAUGUGUUAUCCUAUCUGGGAUUACAAGACUACUUAAAGCAUUAAUGAGUUCGGUCAAUUAAUUUGAGUUAUGUCAAUUAACCAUUUAUGGUAUGUAGGUACAUG